UACGGAGGGGGCUAGCGUUGUUCGGAAUUACUGGGCGUAAAGCGCACGUAGGCGGCUUUGUAAGUUAGAGGUGAAAGCCCAGGGCUUAACCCUGGAAUUGCCUUUAAGACUGCAUCGCUAGGAUUGUGGAGAGGUAAGUGGAAUUCCGAGUGUAGAGGUGAAAUUCGUAGAUAUUCGGAAGAACACCAGUGGCGAAGGCAGGUCACUGGGCCGCAACUGACGCUGAGGAGCGAAAGCAUGGGGAGCGAACAGG
rnacentral:rRNA from 1 species